rnacentral:rRNA from 1 species
GCUUAGCCCUAAACUCAGAUGUAAUUACAUACAAACCCAUCCGCCAGGGUACUACAAGCGCUAGCUUAAAACCCAAAGGACUUGACGGUGUCUCAGACCCACCUAGAGGAGCCUGUUCUAGAACCGAUAAUCCCCGUUAAACCUCACCAUCCCUUGUCUUCUCCCGCCUAUAUACCGCCGUCGCAAGCUUACCCUGUGAAGGGUUUACAGUAAGCAAAAUGGGCCAACCCCAGAACGUCAGGUCGAGGUGUAGCUCACGAGAUGGAAAGAAAUGGGCUACAUUUUCUAUUACAGAAUAUUCACGAACGGUACCAUGAAACCUAGUACCCGAAGGUGGAUUUAGCAGUAAAAAACAAACAGAGCGUGUUUUUGAAUCAGGCUCUGAGACGCGC